rnacentral:rRNA from 1 species
GGACAGAUACUGACANUCAGAUGCGAAAGCGUGGGGAGCAANCAGGAUUAGAUACCCUGGUAGUCCACGCCGUAAACGAUGUCUACUUGGAGGUUGUGGCCUUGAGCCGUGGCUUUCGGAGCUAACGCGUUAAGUAGACCGCCUGGGGAGUACGGUCGCAAGAUUAAAACUCAAAUGAAUUGACGGGGGCCCGCACAAGCGGUGGAGCAUGUGGUUUAAUUCGAUGCAACGCGAAGAACCUUACCUACUCUUGACAUCCAGAGAAGCCAGCGGAGACGCAGGUGUGCCUUCGGGAGCUCUGAGACAGGUGCUGCAUGGCUGUCGUCAGCUCGUGUUGUGAAAUGUUGGGUUAAGUCCCGCAACGAGCGCAACCCUUAUCCUUGUUUGCCAGCGAGUAAUGUCGGGAACUCCAGGGAGACUGCCGGUGAUAAACCGGAGGAAGGUGGGGACGACGUCAAGUCAUCAUGGCCCUUACGAGUAGGGCUACACACGUGCUACAAUGGCGCAUACAGAGGGCGGCGAACUUGCGAGAGUGAGCAAAUCCCAAAAAGUGCGUCGUAGUCCGGAUUGGAGUCUGCAACUCGACUCCAUGAAGUCGGAAUCGCUAGUAAUCGUAGAUCAGAAUGCUACGGUGAAUACGUUCCCGGGCCUUGUACACACCGCCCGUCACACCAUGGGAGUGGGCUGCAAAAGAAGUGGGUAGUUUAACCUUCGGGAGGACGCUCACCACUUUGUGGUUCAUGACUGGGGUGAAGUCGUAACAAGGUAGCC